rnacentral:rRNA from 1 species
CAUAAUAACUUUGCGGAUCGCAUGGCCUUGUGCCGGCGACGUUUCAUUCAAAUUUCUGCCCUAUCAACUUUCGAUUGUAGGAUAGAGGCCUACAAUGGUUUUAACGGGUAACGGGGAAUUAGGGUUCGAUUCCGGAGAGGGAGCCUGAGAAACGGCUGCCACUUCCAAGGAAGGCAGCAGGCGCGCAAAUUACCCAAUCCUGAUACAGGGAGGUAGUGACAAUAAAUAACAAUGCAGGUCAUCAAAAUGUCUUGUAAUUGGAAUGAGUACAAUUUAAACCCCUUAACGAGUAGCAAUUAGAGGGCAAGUCUGGCGCCAGCAGCCGCGGUAAUUCCAGCUCUAAUAGCGUAUAUUAAAGUUGUUGCAGUUAAAAAGCUCGUAGUUGGAUUUUGGGGACAUCAUAGGCAGUCCGCCUUUGCGGUGUGUACGGCCUGUGGGUUCUUUUCCUUUCCGUUGCGUUCGCGUGCUAUUAACUUAGUAUGCGACUGCGCACGGGAUCGUUUACUUUGAAAAAAUUAGAGUGUUCAAAGCAGGCUUUUACGGCCGUUGAAUAGUUCAGCAUGGGAUAAUAGAAUAGGACCUGUUUCUUAUUUUGUUGGUUUUCAAGAGAUAGGUAAUGAUUAAAAGGGAUAGUUGGGGACACUAGUAUUGUGACGUCAGAGGUGAAAUUCAUGGAUUGUCACAAGACUAACUUCUGCGAAAGCAUUUGUCAAGGAUGUUUUCAUUAAUCAAGAACGAAAGUUGGGGGAUCGAAGAUGAUCAGAUACCGUCGUAGUCUCAACCAUAAACUAUGCCGACCAGGGAUUCGGAGCCGGUAAUUGGAUGCCUCCCCGAGCACCUUACGAGAAAUCAUAAGUUUUUGGGUUCUGGGGGGAGUAUGGUCGCAAGGCUGGAACUUAAAGAAAUUGACGGAAGGGCACCACCAGGAGUGGAGCUUGCGGCUUAAUUUGACCCAACGCGGGAAAACUUUCCAGGUCCAGACAUAGUAAGGAUUGACAGAUUGAGAGCUCUUUCUUGAUUUUAUGGGUGGUGGUGCAUGGCCGUUCUUAGUUGGUGUUGUGAAAUGUCUGGUUGAUUCCGUUAACGAACGAGACCUUAACCUACUAAAUAGUUACGCGAACCUUCUAAUAUAGGGUGAAGCGGCUCGUGCGUAGUGCUUACGGGCGUUGCCAUAGGCUGUGAAUCCCUUGAUGUGUUCGUGGAUAUACUUCUUAGAGGGACUAUUCGUUUCCAGCGAAUGGAAGUUUGAGGCAAUAACAGGUCUGUAAUGCCCUUAGAUGUCUUGGGAUGCACGCGUGCUACACUGAUGAAUUCAACGAGCUUAACACCUUGGCCGAAAGGUCUGGGUAAUCUUUUGAAAUUUCAUCGUGAUGGGGAUAGAUCCUUGCAAUUUUUGAUCUUCAACGAGGAAUUCCUAGUAAGCGCAAGUCAUCAUCUUGCGUUGAUUACGUCCCUGCCCUUUGUACACACCGCCCGUCGCUCCUACCGACUGAAUGGUCCGGUGAGCCCUUGGGAUGGCGCCCACGUGUUUCGGGGCAACCUGAACUAGUGGUGCCAAAACUUGUGCAAACCUUAUCAUUUGGAGGAAGGAGAAGUCGUAACAAGGUA